rnacentral:rRNA from 1 species
UAGUCCACGCCGUAAACGAUGUGUGUUAGACGUCAGGACCGUUGGGUCUUGGUGUCGGAGCUAACGUAUUAAACACACCGCCUGGGGAGUACGGUCGCAAGAUUAAAACUCAAAGGAAUUGACGGGGGCCUGCACAAGCGGAGGAACAUGUGGCUUAAUUCGAUGAUACGCGAGGAACCUUACCUGGACUUAAAUGUAGAUUGCAUAGCUCAGAGAUAGGCUUUUCUUCGGACUAUUUACAAGGUGCUGCAUGGUUGUCGUCAGCUCGUGCCGUGAGGUGUCGGGUUAAGUCCCAUAACGAGCGCAACCCCUAUCCUUAGUUGCCAGCGGGUCAUGCCGGGGACUCUGAGGAGACUGCCACCGUAAGGUGUGAGGAAGGUGGGGACGACGUCAAAUCAUCAUGGCCUUUAUGCCUAGGGCUACACACGUGCUACAAUGGUGCAUACAGAGGGUAGCGAAGCAGCGAUGCGGAGCCAAUCUCAGAAAGUGCAUCCC